AACGUUGAAAUACCAGUUCCGGUACGAUCACCGAAGUUAAGCAUCACUAAGUCUGGUCAGUAACUAGAUGGCUGACUGCUUGGGAAUAUCAGGUACUGUAA